rnacentral:rRNA from 1 species
UCACUUUCAACAACGGAUCUCUUGGUUCUCGCAUCGAUGAAGAACGUAGCGAAGUGCGAUAAGUAGUGUGAAUUGCAGAAUUCCGUGAAUCAUCGAAUUUUUGAACGCAAAUUGCACUCUCUGGUAUUCCGGAGAGUAUGCCUGUUUGAGGGUCG